rnacentral:sRNA from 1 species
UGAGGUGGAGAUUUCAGAGGUAGCAGGUGGGAAUAGCCAACAGGUGGGACGAUAGGCAGACAUCUGUCUUUAGGACAAAGACCAGCCCUGGGGACAGACACCAGAAGAGUAAAUGGAGCUGAUGUGUUAUAUUCACUGUUCUCAUCUCACCUGUUAAUUCUUGAAAGGGGCAGUGUUCUACACUUAGGGAUCGGUGACUCGUGCACUGCCCUGGGUUUAUCUUCAGCAGGGAGUUUUUGCCAGGAGGAACUUGUCUCUGCCAAUCGUCUGACUGUGGCCCACAUCUUGCAGGGAGCCGAUAUAUGGAUUUACUCCUUUGAUGGAAGCAGCUGCGGCUGGCCAUGAGAUAAUCGUGCAGUAUUUUCUGAAUCACGGAGUCAAGCUGGACGCGACAGACCACCGUGGAGCCACAGCCCGGAUGCUGGCCAAGCAGUACGGACACAUGAAGAUCGUGGCCUUGAUGGACACUCACUCGCCCUCUCUGCCCAAGAGCCUCUAUCGGAGCCCAGAAAAGUACGAAGAUCUGAGCUCUUCUGACGAGUCCUGCCCUGCU